rfam:Schistosoma mansoni strain Puerto Rico chromosome 7, complete genome
AUCCAACUGACGAGUUCUGAAUAGGACUAAAUACACAUCCUAGAU